rnacentral:lncRNA from 1 species
UUUUUUGCACUUACAUACAAUUAGGUAUACACUAGGAGUCAAAAUGGUUAAGUCAUAGCAUACACUUAUUUUCAAGAUCUGUAAAGAAUACCAAAUGGCUUUUAAAUAUGUGAACAGUUUUUUGUUAUUGUUUUGUUUUAGUUUGGUUUUUAGAGAGUGAUGUGGGUGUGGUGCUACAGAACACGAUUCAGUUUGCUUAUGCUGCACACUCACUGCUGUUCUCUCUUGCCCAGGAAUAAAUCAAUCAGGAGGCUGCAGCACAGCGAUGGCAUUUAAAAAUACUGGAAGGACACCCUACAACCUGAGGUGGCAAUUUGGAGAACUAGAAUUACCCUCACCACCUGCAAUGUGAAAUUGCUGGAGAAAAAGUGUGUGCUCACUUCAUCAGAGGCACAAAGGAAAAGAAUCUCAAAGUGAAAGCAUCUGUUUGCACGCCUAUCAAGAUUAAGAAGGGCUGCAAGAAAAGCCUUGUGGUGUAGGUUCCAAGUCAUGGGAUCACGUCCACAUGAGAAUCCUCAAGUGACUCUUUGACUUGCACAGUCCUUCUGAGAUUGGUUUAAAUAAACAAAAAACAAAAAAACUCCAUCAGUAUUAAGCCAGGAGUGGAGGUUGAAGUCAACACUGUAGAUGUCUAUGCCAACAGUUGUAAAAAAUUGAUUAUCAGUUUUUAAAAAUUACAAUUUUUUCAAAGUGUCCAUUUAUGUCAGAAAUGUAUGAGAGUUCUAGUAUAUU